AUGGCAGCCGCCAGCGACAAACGCCGGAAGGAUGUAGCCGAACUCGAGCACGGACUCGAGCACAACGGCGGCAUACGCCUCCUCCCAACAUCAACCGCACGCUCAUACGCGCGCCCACGGUCCCGGCGCGCCCGACGCGUCCAGUGCGCACCCAUAACACGCACCGGUCGCGCCCGGCUCGCCGCCACGGCUUAUUGCCCUGCACCGCUGCGGCCUCAACCGCAGCGCAGCAUCUCCAUGCCGCCAUGCCGCUGUUUGUCGUUGAAGCCGCCACCACGCAGGUCCUCCGCGGCCUCCUCACCGUGCCGUCGCAGCCACCGCGGCCUCCUCGCCGCGCCGCGCACCUCCAUAGACCGACACACGGCCCGAAGCUUUACCGCGCAGCCGCCGGCGAACGCCGCCACCGCCGGCACGCCUCCGGCAAGGGGACGACGCCCAAGAUGA
rnacentral:rRNA from 1 species